AGUGAGGAAUAUUGGGCAAUGCCCGCAAGGGUGACCCAGCAACGCCGCGUGGAGGAUGAAUGUCGUAAGAUUGUAAACUCCUGUUAGAGGGGAAGAAUAGUACCGGUUGGACCGGUAUAUGACUGUACCCUCAGAGAAAGCCCCGGCUAACUACGUGCCAGCAGCCGCGGUAAUACGUAGGGGGCAAGCGUUGUCCGGAUUUACUGGGUGUAAAGGGCGCGCAGGCGGGAUAAAAAGUCAGUGGUGAAAUCCUACAGCUUAACUGUAGAACUGCCUUUGAUACUUUUAUUCUUGAGUUCGGGAGAGAGAGACGGAAUUCCAGGUGUAGUGGUGAAAUACGUAGAUAUCUGGAAGAGCACCAGUUGCGAAGGCGGUCUCUUGGUCCGACACUGACGCUGAGGCGCGAAAGCGUGGGGAGCAAAC
rnacentral:rRNA from 1 species